GAUGAACGCUGGCGGCGUGCCUAAUACAUGCAAGUCGAGCGAACGGACGAGAAGCUUGCUUUUCUGAUGUUAGCGGCGGACGGGUGAGUAACACGUGGAUAACCUACCUAUAAGACUGGGAUAACUUCGGGAAACCGGAGCUAAUACCGGAUAAUAUUUUGAACCGCAUGGUUCAAAAGUGAAAGACGGUCUUGCUGUCACUUAUAGAUGGAUCCGCGCUGCAUUAGCUAGUUGGUAAGGUAACGGCUUACCAAGGCAACGAUGCAUAGCCGACCUGAGAGGGUGAUCGGCCACACUGGAACUGAGACACGGUCCAGACUCCUACGGGAGGCAGCAGUAGGGAAUCUUCCGCAAUGGGCGAAAGCCUGACGGAGCAACGCCGCGUGAGUGAUGAAGGUCUUCGGAUCGUAAAACUCUGUUAUUAGGGAAGAACAUAUGUGUAAGUAACUGUGCACAUCUUGACGGUACCUAUUCAGAAAGCCACGGCUAACUACGUG
rnacentral:rRNA from 1 species